ACAGAAGCAGCAGGGGUGCUGCCUGCAGAGGUUCCUGUGUGAGAAGCCGAAGGCUCAGAGGACCUGGUGGGCGCUGGCCCUGGCUGUGCUGGCCAUCGUGAUCCUGAUAGCCCUGUUCUUUUUCAAAGACGCUGGGAGAAGAUGUUCCCCAAUAAGGACCAUUUCUCUGCAUUCCCACGGAAUCAACAGAAACAUGUGGACCCGGGAGAAAUAACGGAAUCAACCUGAAUAGCAAAUUACCUGUGAAAACCUUUCAAAUGCAGUGGUAAUCCAUCAAAGAAAAGAAUGGAAAGGCUUCAGAGGCGCACAUAGAGGACUAUGGCUGAAGGACCCCUUUUGCCUUAUUGAUCUUCUGUCUGGAGGAUCUGUCCAAUGAUGUGAGUGGGGUGUUAAAGUCUCUUACUAUUAUUGUAUUCCCAUCAAUUUCUCCUUUUAUGUCUGUUAGUAUUUGUUUUACGCCAGUAAUUUUCUUAUGGCUGUACCCAUGGCAUAUGAAAUUUCCCAGGCCAGGGAUCAAACCUGAGCCUCUGCAGCAAACUGAGCCACUGCAGUCGAAUUCUUAACCCACUGUGCCACAGCAAGAACUCUGAAAUCCGUUUAUUUUAAAUUGCAGAAGAAAAAGGCAAUUACUGUCUGUUUUUCUUCCCUACCAUAGCCACAUCCCACACACACCCAAGGGAGAAGUUCUCCCUUGAGCACAAAGUGUGGGAAAUGUGGAAAUGAAACUUCAAGUCAGAGGUUAGGGGGAUUUAGUAAUCGUGAUUACUAAGAAAAAAA
rnacentral:lncRNA from 1 species